GACAGCAGCAGCCGCGGGAAUACGUAGGGUGCGAGCGUUAAUCGGAAUUACUGGGCGUAAAGCGUGCGCAGGCGGUUAUAUAAGACAGAUGUGAAAUCCCCGGGCUCAACCUGGGACCUGCAUUUGUGACUGUAUAGCUAGAGUACGGUAGAGGGGGAUGGAAUUCCGCGUGUAGCAGUGAAAUGCGUAGAUAUGCGGAGGAACACCGAUGGCGAAGGCAAUCCCCUGGACCUGUACUGACGCUCAUGCACGAAAGCGUGGGGAGCAAACAGGAUUAGAUACCCCGGUAGUCCCUGUCUCUUAUAC
rnacentral:rRNA from 1 species